rnacentral:rRNA from 1 species
UUAAGCCAUGCAUGUCUAAGUACAUGCCGAAAUAAGGCGAAACCGCGAAUGGCUCAUUAAAUCAGUUAUGGUUCCUUAGAUCGUUUCUUCCUACUUGGAUAACUGUGGCAAUUCUAGAGCUAAUACAUGCAGUGAGCCUGGAGCCCUUUGGGUAACGGGUGCUUUUAUUAGACCAAGAUCGAUCGGGUUUCGGCCCGUAUUGUGUGGUGACUCUGGAUAACUUUGUGCUGAUCGCAUGGCCACGAGCCGGCGACGUUUCUUUCAAGUGUCUGCCUUAUCAACUUUCGAUGGUAGGUUACUUGCUUACCAUGGUUGUUACGGGUAACGGAGAAUCAGGGUUCGAUUCCGGAGAGGGAGCCUGAGAAACGGCUACCACAUCCAAGGAAGGCAGCAGGCGCGCAAAUUACCCACUCCCGGCACGGGGAGGUAGUGACGAAAAAUAACAAUACGGGACUCUUUUGAGGCCCCGUAAUUGAAAUGAGUACACUCUAAAUCCUUUAACGAGGAUCAAUUGGAGGGCAAGUCUGGUGCCAGCAGCCGCGGUAAUUCCAGCUCCAAUAGCGUAUACUAAAGCUGCUGCGGUUAAAAAGCUCGUAGUUGGAUCUCAGUUCCAGACGAGUAGUGCAUCUACCCGAUGCGACGGCUCGGACUGAACAUCAUGCCGGUUCUUUCUUGGUGCACUUCAUUGUGUGCCUCGAGAUGGCCGGUGCUUUUACUUUGAAAAAAUUAGAGUGCUCAACGCAGGCGAGUCGCCUGAAUAAACUUGCAUGGAAUAAUAGAACAAGACCUCGUUUCUGUUCUGUUGGUUUUUGGAAUACGAGGUAAUGAUUAAGAGGGACGGACGGGGGCAUUCGUAUUGCGGCGCUAGAGGUGAAAUUCUUGGACCGUCGCAAGACGAACUACUGCGAAAGCAUUUGCCAAGAAUGUUUUCAUUGAUCAAGAACGAAAGUCAGAGGUUCGAAGGCGAUCAGAUACCGCCCUAGUUCUGACCAUAAACGAUGCCAACCAGCGAUCCGCCUGAGUUACUCAAAUGACUCGGCGGGCAGCUUCCGGGAAACCAAAGUAUUUGGGUUCCGGGGGAAGUAUGGUUGCAAAGCUGAAACUUAAAGGAAUUGACGGAAGGGCACCACCAGGAGUGGAGCCUGCGGCUUAAUUUGACUCAACACGGGAAAACUUACCCGGCCCGGACACUGGGAGGAUUGACAGAUUGAGAGCUCUUUCUUGAUUCGGUGGAUGGUGGUGCAUGGCCGUUCUUAGUUGGUGGAGCGAUUUGUCUGGUUAAUUCCGAUAACGAACGAGACUCUAGCCUAUUAAAUAGGUGCGGGGUUCCCAGCACCUUACAACCUUCUUAGAGGGACAAGCGGCUCCUAGCCGCACGAAACAGAGCAAUAACAGGUCUGUGAUGCCCUUAGAUGUCCGGGGCCGCACGCGCGCUACACUGAAGGAAGCAGCGUGUCUUUAUCCCUGUCUGAAAAGACUGGGUAACCCGUGGAACUUCUUUCGUGAUUGGGAUAGGGGCUUGCAAUUGUUCCCCUUGAACGAGGAAUUCCCAGUAAGCGCGAGUCAUAAGCUCGCGUUGAUUACGUCCCUGCCCUUUGUACACACCGCCCGUCGCUACUACCGAUUGAAUGAUUUAGUGAGGUCUUCGGACCGAUGUCCGGCGCGGCCUUUCGGUUGCGCCGGUCUGUUGGAAAGAUGACCA